rnacentral:tRNA from 1 species
GGGACCGUAGCUCAGUGGUAGAGUGCUUGCUUUGCAUGCAUGAGGCUUUGGGUUCUAUUCCCAGCACCA